rnacentral:rRNA from 1 species
CAGCCGCCGCGGUAAUACGUAGGUGGCAAGCGUUAUCCGGAAUUAUUGGGCGUAAAGCGCGCGUAGGCGGUUUUUUAAGUCUGAUGUGAAAGCCCACGGCUCAACCGUGGAGGGUCAUUGGAAACUGGAAAACUUGAGUGCAGAAGAGGAAAGUGGAAUUCCAUGUGUAGCGGUGAAAUGCGCAGAGAUAUGGAGGAACACCAGUGGCGAAGGCGACUUUCUGGUCUGUAACUGACGCUGAUGUGCGAAAGCGUGGGGAUCAAACAGGAUUAGAUACCCCCGUAGUCCCUGUCUCUUAUAA